UUCUUUUCUCUCUCCCUCCUCCUCCAUUGUACACGGCACUGGCUAUCACUCAGACCCACAUGGAGGAGCUGCUGCUAUACUAGGGGGAGGGGCAUCCCUGAUGCGUUAGAGACCUCGGGUGCAUGGGGUUAUUAAAGAUCGGCAUAGAACACCCUGAGUGCUGACAAUGCAGCUGACAUAUCACUAAGUGUCUCAGAAAAGUGCUGAGUACGGUAUGCAGAGUGAGUCUUAAUGGCGCCUCAGGUAUGCUUGAUCAGUUAACUAUGCAUUUUUGUUCACAUUAAUAACUAUAAAAAAUUUUUUGAAUGUCUUGAGACAAUUGAACAUUGGACAUUGAGUUGGACAUUUAUAUGGAUUUUUUUCUUUUUUUCCUUUUUUUUCCAUUUUUUCUACUUUUUUGUCUCUGGACUGUUACAAAUUGUCACUGAUUGUAUAUAACAUCCCUGUGAUGUCACGAGGAGAGGGUGGGGCAUGGACUCACACACCCCUUGCUCUCACUUUAAAAGGAAUGGUCAUCAUGUAACACAUGGCUUGAUAAAGGGCCUGGUAGGCCCGAAACGUUGCCUAAAUUGUAUGAUGUGGGCUUAAUAAAUUUUGGUACACUUUUUGCAACUUGAAUACAGUGUGCUGCUGGUUCCUUUCUACA